rnacentral:misc_RNA from 1 species
AACGCACCUUGCGCUCCUUGGUAUUCCGAGGAGCAUGCCUGUUUGAGUGUCAUUAAAUUCUCAACCCCUUCAGUUGUGAUGGGGCUUGGAUAUGGGAGUUUGCGGGUCCUUUAUCAGUAAAGGUCAGCUCUCCUGAAAUACAUUAGCGGAACCGUUUGCAGUCCCGUCACUAGUGUGAUAAUUAUCUACACUGUGAUGAUUGCUCUCUGACUAGUUCAGCUGCUAAUCGUCCGUUACGGACAAUGUUUAAUGAAAUUCUUGACCUCAAAUCAGGUAGGACUACCCGCUGAACUUAA